GGCCGUGGCUCAGUGGUAGAACUCUGGCUCUGCAUGUAAUGGGUCCCCGGUUCAAUCCCAGGUGGCGUCU
rnacentral:tRNA from 1 species